rnacentral:tRNA from 1 species
UCCUCGGUAGCUCAGUUGGCAGAGCAGGUGACUGUUAAUCACCUGGUCCGUGGUUCGAGUCCACGCCGGGGAGCCA